ACUUAUUUAAUUACAUUAUUAUCCGAGUGUGAAAGACAUUUAUUAUAAACGGCAUUACAUGCCUAUUAAGAUGUUGGAUUUUUUUGAUUGAGGGGCAAUUUUUUUCCUAAUAUUUUUGUCGAAGCCUGCAGUCAAACUUCAAACACGGCAAAUCAUUGUCCUAGUAAAACACAAUUAACAUCAAAUUACCAUCCAUAAUUCAAAAUUAGCAGCCUAAUUAUUACCAAUCCAACGGCCAAAGAAUCGAGUCAAAAUCCCAACGGCUGCGAUUGAUUUAGUCAACUGGGAUGUGGCUGGUUGGCCCAUCGUACUGUUUCGGAAUCUAAUCCAACUUCCCCAGAAAUAUCUGACUGCUGCCCGUAGUCAGUCCCAGUGACUGCCCGAACACUGACUCGUCAGCACCCAGUCUCGCUCCGGGCAGCUCCAAACUCCAAAGCUCUCUCUCUCCUCCCUCUUCUCUUUCUCUCUCUACACUUGGAAAUACAUAAAUGUGAAACCUUUCAUUCGGCGAGGAAUGGAGGCCGCCACCUUCUGCCUUCAGGUAAAGGUGGCUCAAAGAUAUUGCUGAAUGAAGUUCUCCCAUUGACUCCAUUGAUAAGAGAAAAACAGAGAGGAGGAGGAGAGAUAGAGAGAGAGAGAGAGAGAGAGAGAUGGGUCAGGGGUUGAGUUGCAGAGAGAGUGACGAACAUGGGCUGUUCCGAGCCGUAAAAUUUGGGGAGCUGGACACCGUGGAAGCUGUGUUAGAGAGAGACCCAACUCUCCUCGGCCACUCCAUCGUCUACGACCGCCACUCUGCUCUUCAUAUCGCCGCCGCUAACGGCCAGAUCGAGAGAAAAUUGAAGAGAUAGGUAGAAAGAUUGUCAGGAGAGGAUCAACUUUCUCUCUUGGGCCGAGUCCAAAUUCCGGUGGGAUUGGCCGGAAUCAGCAAAACUCCGCCAAAAAAAGUCACUGUUCUAGGCUCCAAUCUUUGAACACAGUUGAUUUUGAGGUGUGGGUGUCAUAUCAGAUGGAAGAGAGUUCUGAUACGAAUCUAUAGGCUCCGACCUUGCGUGAUUUCGUUACCGUAUGAAAAAGUUACGAUGAAAUUAAGUUUUGCAGUGGAAGAAUGCAGGAGGGAGGAGUAUAAGAACAGCAGUGCAGCUGCUGGUCUGCACGCAGGAAGGAAGGUGACUUGUUUGGUAUUUUCACUAUGAUAAAAUAAUAAUUAUUUAAAAAAACUGUUUAUAUGACGAAAAUAUCCCUAUAUUAUUUGAUGUAUUAUUUUGAACUUCUUACUAACUUUUUUGUUUUGAGGGCA